GAGUUAGGAAAUGUAGGCUCGCUAAUAUCGGGUCUAUUUGACAAAGGCUCCAAAGGAAGCCACGGCUAACUCUGUGCCAGCAGCCGCGGUAAUACAGAGGUGGCAAGCGUUGUUCGGAAUUAUUGGGCGUAAAGAGCGCGUAGGUGGAUUUGUAAGUCAGACGUGAAAGCCUUCUGUUCAACGGGAGAAUUGCAUCUGAAACUACAGACCUUGAGUAUAGGAGGGGAGAGUGGAACUUCUGGU
rnacentral:rRNA from 1 species